rnacentral:rRNA from 1 species
AGGACGAACGCUGGCGGCGUGCCUAACACAUGCAAGUCGAACGGAGUUCAACCGGUGGCAACACUGGUGAAGACUCAGUGGCGAACGGGUGCGUAACACGUGAGCAACCUGCCCCGAAGACUGGGAUAACGCCGGGAAACCGGUGCUAAUACCAGAUGCCCCCACGGAUUCACAUGGCUCUGUGAGGAAAGGAAUCCGCUUCGGGAGGGGCUCGCGGCCUAUCAGUUUGUGGUGGGGUAACGGCCUACCAAGACGACGACGGGUAGCUGGUCUGAGAGGACGAUCAGCCACACUGGGACUGAGACACGGCCCAGACUCCUACGGGAGGCAGCAGUGGGGAAUCUUGCGCAAUGGGCGAAAGCCUGACGCAGCAACGCCGCGUGGGGGAUGAAGGCUCUCGGGUUGUAAACCCCUUUCAGCAGGAACGAAACUGACGGUACCUGCAGAAGAAGCCCGGCAACUACGCGCCAGCAGCCGCGGUAA